UGAGUUGACUGAUGCCUGGCAGCCCC
rnacentral:piRNA from 2 species